GUUCCCUGUUCUCUCACAACCCUUUUCUCCACAGCCGUUCCGUUCCUUGUUCUCUCACAGCCGCACGCCGCACCCUUUCCCUGUUCUCUCACAGCCACACCCUUAUCACAACCGCACGCCGCCUCUUUCAGUUCUUCCUCAAGACCUGUAUAUCUGCAACUCCUGGGUAACAAGGUAUCACCCACGACUAUAUUUCAAAUUUUUUUCAUUUUCAGUUUUUUCUUAUUUCAGAUCAAAGAAAAUAGUUUAGAAUUUAAAAGCAAGAACAGCUUCUUGUCUGCAUCUUGAAUCGACAACGAUCCAGCCGUGUAUCGAAUGUUUUGAGGCAGUCUCUUCGUUUGCGAUAGUGAAAUGAUAUUCUAGAUGCUGUAGAAUGUCUAGCUCACUCGCCCAUAAAUUUACUUCCAAGUUUUCCUGUUGACUGUGGGACUUUUAUGGGUUUGAAUUAUAUAUAGACAUAUAGACUUUUAUGGGUUUGAAUUGUAUAUAGACAUAUAGACAUAGGCCUACAACACGUUCAGAUUUAAAUUUAUAUAAUUGUAAAUGAAAAAAAGUCAAAUAUUCAACACUUUUUAAUAUAUAUAAUACUUCCAAGUUUUCCUGUUGACUGUGGGACUUUUAUGGGUUUGAAUUAUAUAUAGACAUAUAGACUUUUAUGGGUUUGAAUUGUAUAUAGACAUAUAGACAUAGGCCUACAACACGUUCAGAUUUAAAUUUAUAUAAUUGCAAAUGAAAAAAAGUCAAAUAUUCAACACUUUUUAAAUUUAUAUAAUUGCAAAUGAAAAAAGUCAAAUAUUCAACACUUUUUAAAUUUAUAUAAUUGCAAAUGAAAAAGGACAAAUAGUCAACACGUCCUGUGAACUUUUUUUUUUUGUUUGUUUAAUCAAAUUAUAAUAUAUUAAACACUAUUAAACCAUAAAAAUAUCUGAAAAGCGUUGUGAAUAUUUUGGUAUAUUUUGUAUUCUGACUAUACUAGUAUACAUACACUUGGUUUGUUGCUUCUUCUAUGUGCAGGUUCAACAAGCUUUUUCAGACCUGGAGAGGGAGCGUGGUUAUCUUGUUACUGAUGAAGUGUUUGAGGUAAUUUUUAACUUAGUUGCUUUCGAUGAAAGCCAAGUUGUAAUUGUAUGUUGACUAGUGAUUGGUGGUGGCACUUAUUUGUCCAGUACUUGUAGCUACUGGCAUUGGUAAAAAUUGGAUUCUCGCUGGACUCUCCUGCUUUUUACACUGUCUGUGAGUGCUUUGAGGUUUUGGGCUUGGUCUGGGUGGCUCUGUGAUUUUUGAAUUAGGCUUGGCGGCUUUAACACUUUUGGAAUUUAGCCUUGGAAGCCUUGAGGAUAAAAUGAUGGAGUUAAGGGGUCAACAUCCUCCAGAAGAACUGUCUGAUAAAGAGAUUAUGGAGCGUGUACUUGGACGUGAUUCGGUAUACUUGCGAGGGUGGAGGCGGUCUCCUAGUGUCACAACUUCUACUUCACAUCGUGAAAAUAUUGUGGGUAAUCAACCAACUUAUGAAGAGUUACUUGAACGACUUAAUAAUACAACUUCCUGCCUUAAUGCUACUAACGAACAACUUAGUGUAGUUGUGGAUAUACUUCGUCAUAACAAUUUGAUGGCACUGCCGCCACCACCACCUCCAACAGACCAAGCUUCAGAUGCAAAUUUAAGAGAGUCGCCAUCUAUUUCAGUUCGGGAGUCACAAGAUGAUUCUUAGUUUAUUUACAUUAAUUUACUAAGGAAUGAACUUUAUGAAGUUUUUUUUUUAUUUUGGUAGGGGUAACCUUAAAAUGAUAAUUUUAUGACUUAUUUUAGUAUUGAACAUUAUAAAGAAUUUUAGCAUUAAACAUUUUAUUA